GAGAAUAAUAAAAUAUAAUUUAUUUACCAAUCUUAUUAAUUAAUAUUUCAAAUGAGAUUGCUUUUUUUCUCAAGUACAUAAUGAUUGGUAUAGCAGUUAUUCAAUAUGCUACAAAGUUUUAGGGCUUCUCAUCAAUAGGUACAGGGUUGCAACAUGGAGGUCUAUGACAAACGACUGGGUCACAUGGCCACUCAGGCUUACAACAAGGAUUACCAUAUCUACCUUGUACAUUGCCAACAAAAAUACAUGCAAUAGCAACUAGUAAUACCACAAACUUAAAGAUCAACCUCAAUAGAGUUUCCAUCUUAACCAAACUUGGUUUACAAAGAAAGAGAAGAUGAAAAUGUUAUAAUGAAUGAU
rnacentral:lncRNA from 1 species